CACACCACGAAAGUUGGAUGGACCUGAAGUCGUUGCGCCAACCCGCCCCUCCUCGGAGACGCGGGAGGCAGGCGCCAACGGUCUGUUCGAUGAUUGGGGUG
rnacentral:rRNA from 1 species